AAAAAACACCCCCUCCAUUUUUAACAGCUUUUCUUCCCCUUACAAACUUCUCUGUUCAGUGUACUUCUCUGUUCACAAGUCACUAUUUUCUCUCUCUACUCUCUCACUGCCAAUGGAGUCUCGCGUGUUGACCGGUGGCGCCACCGCCAUUCGCGGUGGUCUCCCACUUCUCCGGAAGCCGGCGGCAGUGAUGAAGUUCACCACCGCCGCUACUUGCGGCAGUAACAGGGACUUCCCUGCUGGUGCUGUUACGGCAAAACCAGUCGGACCUCUGAUUGCCGGCCCCAAUUUGAUUUGGGGACGACAAUUACGUCCGGCUAUCCUUCUCGAAGCUUCACCAAAGAGGGAAUCCAUUAAGCCGUGCUCCGCUGCAGCUUCUUCUUCCGCCGGAAGCAGCGAUUCCUCCGGGGAGGCUAAAAUCGGGUUUUUCAACAAAGCAACUCUGACUACCGGGUUUUUCUUCUUCAUGUGGUAUUUUCUGAAUGUGAUAUUCAAUAUCCUCAACAAGAAGAUCUACAAUUACUUUCCUUAUCCUUAUUUUGUUUCUGUUAUACAUUUGGCUGUUGGAGUGGUAUAUUGUUUGGUGAGCUGGGCUGUAGGUCUCCCAAAAAGAGCUCCUAUUGAUUCAACACAACUGAAGCUGCUCACCCCUGUUGCCUUUUGUCAUGCGCUUGGCCAUGUUACCAGCAAUGUCUCGUUUGCUGCAGUUGCUGUCUCAUUCACUCACACAAUUAAAGCUCUGGAACCUUUCUUCAAUGCUGCUGCAUCUCAGUUCAUUCUUGGACAACAAAUACCUUUAGCACUAUGGCUGUCACUUGCUCCAGUUGUCCUUGGUGUGUCGAUGGCUUCAUUGACUGAGCUAUCUUUCAAUUGGUUGGGUUUCACUAGUGCUAUGAUUUCUAACAUCUCCUUCACAUACAGGAGUAUAUACUCGAAGAAAGCUAUGACUGAUAUGGAUAGUACUAACGUGUAUGCCUACAUAUCCAUCAUUGCUCUUAUCUUUUGCCUCCCGCCUGCCAUUUUUAUUGAGGGACCUAAAUUGCUCCAAUAUGGAUUCAACGAUGCCAUUGCUAAAGUUGGUCUAACAAAAUUCAUAACGGAUCUCUUUUGGGUGGGAAUGUUUUAU
rnacentral:misc_RNA from 1 species